UUACAACCAUAUCAAGUUGAAACACUGGUUCUUGUUCAGUCACUGAAGUUCAGCAAUGUUGAGUCUGGUCAGUACUUAGAUGGGUGACUGGUUGGGAACACUAAGUGCUGUAAG